CCUACGGGGGGCUGCAGUGAGGAAUAUUGGUCAAUGGCCGCAGGGCUGAACCAGCCAAGUCGCGUGAGGGAUGACGGUCCUAUGGAUUGUAAACCUCUUUUGUCAGGGAGCAAAGGGCGCCACGUGUGGCGCUUUGCGAGUACCUGAAGAAAAAGCAUCGGCUAACUCCGUGCCAGCAGCCGCGGUAAUACGGAGGAUGCGAGCGUUAUCCGGAUUUAUUGGGGUUAAAGGGUGCGCAGGCGGAAUGUCAAGUCAGCGGUAAAAUUUCGGGGCUCAACCCCGUCGUGCCGUUGAAACUGGCGUUCUUGAGUGAGCGAGAAGUAUGCGGAAUGCGUGGUGUAGCGGUGAAAUGCAUAGAUAUCACGCAGAACUCCGAUUGCGAAGGCAGCAUACCGGCGCUCAACUGACGCUCAUGCACGAAAGCGUGGGUAUCGAACAGGAUUAGAUACCCCAGUAGUC
rnacentral:rRNA from 1 species